UACGGGAGGCAGCAGUGGGGAAUAUUGGACAAUGGGCGGGAAGCCUGAUCCAGCCAUGCCGCGUGUGUGAAGAAGGCCUUUUGGUUGUAAAGCACUUUAAGCGAGGAGGAGGACUACUAGUACUUAAUACUACUGGAUAAGUGGACGUUACUCGCAGAAUAAGCACCGGCUAACUCUGUGCCGGGCAGCCGCGGUAAUACAGAGGGUGCGAGCGUUAAUCGGAUUUACUGGGUCGUAAAGCGUGCGUAGGCGGCUGAUUAAGUCGGAUGUGAAAUCCCCUGAGCUUAACUUAGGAAUUGCAUUCGAUACUGGUCAGCUAGAGUAUGGGAGAGGAUGGUAGAAUUCCAGGUGUAGCGGUGAAAUGCGUAGAGAUCUGGAGGAAUACCGAUGGGCGAAAGGGCAGCCGAUCUGGGCCUAAAUACUGACGCUGAGUACGAAAGCAUGGGGA
rnacentral:rRNA from 1 species